GAUGAACGCUGGCGGCGUGCCUAAUACAUGCAAGUCGAACGCACAGCGAAAGGUGCUUGCACCUUUCAAGUGAGUGGCGAACGGGUGAGUAACACGUUGACAACCUGCCUCAAGGCUGGGGAUAACAUUUGGAAACAGAUGCUAAUACCGAAUAAAACUUAGUGUCGCAUGACAAAAAGUUAAAAGGCGCUUCGGCGUCACCUAGAGAUGGAUCCGCGGUGCAUUAGUUAGUUGGUGGGGUAAAGGCCUACCAAGACAAUGAUGCAUAGCCGAGUUGAGAGACUGAUCGGCCACAUUGGGACUGAGACACGGCCCAAACUCCUACGGGAGGCUGCAGUAGGGAAUCUUCCACAAUGGGCGAAAGCCUGAUGGAGCAACGCCGCGUGUGUGAUGAAGGCUUUCGGGUCGUAAAGCACUGUUGUAUGGGAAGAACAGCUAGAAUAGGAAAUGAUUUUAGUUUGACGGUACCAUACCAGAAAGGGACGGCUAAAUACGUGCCAGCCGCCGCGGUAA
rnacentral:rRNA from 1 species